ACGCUCGACACCUACGGGAGCAGCAGUGAGGAAUAUUGGUCAAUGGGCGCUAGCCUGAACCAGCCAAGUAGCGUGAAGGAUGAAGGCUCUAUGGGUCGUAAACUUUUUUUAUAUAAGAAUAAAGUGCAGUAUGUAUACUGUUUUGUAUGUAUUAUAUGAAUAAGGAUCGGCUAACUCCGUGCCAACAGCCGCGGUAAUCUGAGCGGGCUGGCAAGGC
rnacentral:rRNA from 1 species